rnacentral:misc_RNA from 1 species
CAGAUCGAAGCACAUGGUUUUGUGUAACAAGUGGAGUUUAGAGAAGAUGGGUGAAAUCUAACCAAAACUCUGUCUGCUUUCACUUUCACUUUCACUCUCUGCUUCUCUCUCUCAACAAAAAGGCUUCGCAUACAAACGCACACACAGAGAUAGAGAGUGAGCUUCUUCCCAUUGUCUGUUUCUCUCCUCUUUCAACCCUUUUCCUGUCAUCCCUUCUCUUUUCUUCGUUCCAAAUCUCUCCAUUAAUUCUAAUGGAGGCAUUACUUACAGUUUUCAUUAAUGAGAAUGGAAUUUGGCUUGCAUUCAUAAUUUGCAAGAACUUCUAAAGUAUGUCAAAGAAAUGUCAGUAAGAUUCAGUAAAGUAAUUGGAUUUUAUAAUAAUAAUUAUUAUCAUUAUAAAAAGAUGAAUUCUGUUUUUCACCCUUUACCAGGGGCGGGAGAGAGAAUUUCAUCUCCCUAUAUCCCCAUUAUUGAGACAUUAUGAAUUAAAUACUGAUAUCAUUUUGGUGGUCAUUUGGUGAUGUUAAUUUUUGUGGAAUUGCAGCCAUCUUUCUUUUGUUUUGUUUCAGCUAGAAAAAAAAUAGUGGGCUGCCUUCACAAUGAACGGGAAUAGACAAAUGGAGGUGCAUUUCAUAACCACUGGCUUUCCUUAUACUGUUACAGAAAGUUUCAUGGACUUCUCUGAGGGACUGACACAUGUAGGCAUUAUGCUCACACUGGACCAGUGCAUGAUCAGGUAUUAGUUCCAGUUCAAAUAACCCCAGAAGUAAUUGUCUGAAAGAUUGUCAAAAAUAUCCAAAAGUAGUUAGAUCCAUGUUGCAGAUGAAUAGUUAUGCAAACUGCUGUUGAGGGCACUAUAGUGUAAAAUAAGAAAAAGAAAAGGAAAAGAAAACAUAAAUUCAAUAUGAAACGCAUAAGAGUUGUGUAAUGUGGGUACCUUUUGAACUGAGAAUUCUGAUUGCUAUUUUCCUUUGAGAUGGACUCAGAUAUUUCAUCAAGCUCUUCUUCAAAAGCAUAAGCUAUUACCAAGGUGCUUAUUCAACUAUAUUAUAUUCAUCAACUUUAAAAGUAAUUUAGAUGCCCUGCAACGUUUCUCUAUAUCCCAUGGUUAUGUAACUAUGCCAUAGAUGAAUAUUUGCUUAAUUCUUUUAUAUGCUUACGUGUUGUAACAAUGUUUUAGGCUUGCUGUGUAUAUUUUGUUACUAGUUCACAGGUGACCUCAUAUUUGCCAUCUUUCUAUGACCUUUUUUCUCCCAUUCUGUUCAGGGGAGCGCACAUUGGAUAAUGAACAUGAAUGUGUAUAAAUAUGGAUUUUCUGGCCCAGGAAGUGCCUCUUAUUACAAUUCUUAUGAGGUAUAUGAUAAUUUAUCAAGAAUUAAUGUUGGUAGGGGAGCCUGGGAAUACCCUUCAGUGGUGAAUGUGCAAGAGCCCACAUCUGCAGGUACACAGUCUGAGGGAGAUGCAGUUGCCAGUGUGCACACUCUACCAGAAGAAUGCAUCACAAAUCAUUCAGGCAGUGAUAGUCCUCAGGGUGUUUGGCAAGAUGAUAUCGAUCCUGAUAACAUGACCUAUGAGAUUUGCCUUGUGUAAAUUUUCCUGUUCUCUUCCUGGCAAUAAGUUGCAUUUUAUUUUGAUAGUGGCGCUUGAUAUUGUCACCAUGAUGGUGUAAAAUCUGGGGUUUAGUACAAUCCAGUUUGGUAGGGCUGUUGGUUCUCACAACUUAGUAUAGUCCUCAAAAAUACUUACUGAACAAUCAUUUAUGACCUAGACCAAGCAUUUGCGACCCAUUGGAUUAUUAUUGAUGCUACUAUGGAUUCCGUGGUCACCCUUAAUGGAUAGCCUGUAGUCUGCACAAGAACAGUGAAGUCGGCAGCUCAAAGGCAAUCAAUUAAUCCUAUGCUCAAGUUAGAGAGUGAAAGAGAUCUCUGACUCAAGUAAUGAAAUGGGUGUAUGUUGAUGGAUGUAAAAAGCAACUUCUCGGUCCCUUCUCAUCUCUUUGUACUUUCUUGUUAUAGCAGCUGGCGUUAUUUGUGGUAAGUGCUAAAUGCUAAUCAAUCCCAAGGGUCCGGCGCUUGUUAUGGAUAUUGCUCCGUGAUUUCAGCUGUGUACUUCUCUUUUAGUGUCAAUCGCUUCUUGCAGAGCCCGAGCUGCGCACACGGCCAAGCUCAAGGGAUAGCUUCGUUCCGAGUGCCGAGGUCCAUCAAAGGGAUCUCCGUCGGUCAUCGAUGAUUGGUGAUCUUGAUAGGGUCCAAGCGAGCUAGGGCCUGGGUUACUAAGCUCGUGCCAGUUUUGCUGUAAUUUCGGGAUGAACUAUAUCAUUUACCAACUUCUUUUGAUUUGAAGUUGGUAUACACUGUAAAUGAACAGCAUCAUGAGUAUUCUCAUUAACAGUUCAGUUUUCCAUGCAAAGAAAUAGAUUAACGAAUACUACUAUCAAGGGGCAUUUGCUUGGCUUUUAGAGUUGCACAAACAUGUCAAAACUUACCUAUCUUGAGAGGCCAGCAGAACCUUUGUAAAAUUUCUUUUGAGAAUUUGUUAUUUCCCUUUCAAAUUGGAUGUUGUCAAUAUUGAUAUAUGUGUGAAUUUCUUAGUCCUUAUCUUUCAUUAUUGAAUUUUACCAAGAAAUGACAGCCAAAGCUCACAGGGAGGUUAUGUAUAAGCUAUUUGUUUUUUGUGCCACAGGAAUUACUUGAUUUCGGUGAGACAGUAGGAGCACAAAGUAGAGGUCUGUCGCAAGAACUUACUAGUUUGCUUCCAACCUCAAAAUGCAAGUUUGGAAGUUUCUUCUCUAGAAAAAAGCCUGGCGAGAGAUGUGUUAUUUGCCAGAUGAGGUACAAAAGAGGGGACCAGCAAAUGAAGCUGCCAUGUCGGCACGUGUACUAUUCUGAAUGCAUCACCAAACGGCUUGGUAUCAACAAGGCCAGUCAAUGUCAUCUUCAAUGCAAGAACCAUUCAGAAAUCUGCAUAUGCAGCCUCUGAUAAAUGCAUCCAUCUCAAACUGUUUUUAACUUGUUUUAUCAGAUUGUAACCAUCCAAAGACAGCUGAGGAUUUCUUUAGAACAACUCCAGCUUCAAAGCUUUUACGCUCAGCUGACAAAUCUAAGAGCCCUUUUGGCUACGGGAACCCAAGAGAUGCAAAAUUGAAGAGGAGAGGGCAAAGUCAAUGUUCAUUUACAUAUAGUGAUAGAUCCAAAUUCAGCGAAGAUAGUGAAAACAAGAACCCAAAUUUAUCAACACCGCCAAAUUACCAAGCUAAGUUCCUGAAAGAAAUGACCAAAUCCAGCGCUGAGAAGAAGAAACCAGUUGAUGAUAUAUUUCAAACCAAUGAGGCACCAAGGCUAAAGAGCACGUUAUCGGCCAGGAAUUUGUUUGCAGGGAAGGAGAUACUAUGUCAUAUUAGUGAGUUCUGCAAUGAAUUGAAGAAGAUAGCAAGGAGGGCAAGGGAGAGAGUGUGUGAUGAGAAGUUGAAUGAGAAGGAGAGUCAUUUGAGGCAGAAAAAAGAUGUGGCAGUGGUGAACGGGAGUUCUAGAGAGGCUUUGGGGAAGGUGGAUGUGAAGGAGAAAGAGAGGAAGCCACUGCUUGAAGCAGGGAAAGAGAAAUCAGAAGGAAUUGAGAAAGGAAGUGUCAAAGAAAUGCAGAGGAGGAAGAAGUAAGUUAAAAAUACCUGAUCCGUACUUCUUUUCUGCCAAUUGUGUGUUUGGACAUGCAAAAAGACACUGAUAUUUGCACAUGUUAAGGGAUGGGUCUGGCCUUUAUGUUUUGUGGGAUUGAAUAGCAGAAACUUGUAAGCAAAAUUUUCAGAUUCUUCCAAAAGCUCUGAAAUUUUAACAAUAUUUGCUUAUAGAUCUUGAACAAACUUAUGCUUCAAUAUUGUGCAGGUGUUGAGUGUUAGCAAAUUGAAAAUGGACAUCAUGCAUUUGUUGUUCAGAUUAAACAAAGCUUAGAAAUUUCCACCAUAUAGCAAUUUGAAGAGGCUGUGCGUAAUGAGUGACUAAACUUUGGUUAUUAAAUUAUUGUGUAGAUUAAAUGAAGAUGCAGAGAACAUUCCAGUCCCUCUAAAUUUGGAAAAUGUAAAGCACAAAGGAGAGGAGCGCUUGCUGCAAAUUCGGACCAAUCCUCCUUCUCCUCAAUGCUUUUCUGCCACUCGAGCACCCACAAAAAC